rfam:Chelonia mydas contig174847, whole genome shotgun sequence.
GUUUCCGUAGUGUAGUGGUUAUCACAUUCGCCUAACACGUGAAAGGUUCCCAGUUUGAAACUGGGUGGAAACA